AGUCGAGCGAUCUCUUCGGAGAGAGCGGCGGACGGGUGAGUAACGCGUGGGUAACCUGCCCUGUACACACGGAUAACAUACCGAAAGGUAUACUAAUACGGGAUAACAUAUAAAAGUCGCAUGGCUUUUGUAUCAAAGCUCCGGCGGUACAGGAUGGACCCGCGUCUGAUUAGCUAGUUGGUAAGGUAAUGGCUUACCAAGGCAACGAUCAGUAGCCGACCUGAGAGGGUGAUCGGCCACACUGGAACUGAAACACGGUCCAGACUCCUACGGGAGGCAGCAUUGGGGAAUAUUGCACAAUGGGCGAAAGCCUGAUGCAACAACGCCGCGUGAGCGAUGAAAGCCUUCGGGUCGUAAAGCUCUGUCCUCAAGGAAGAUAAUGACGGUACUUGAGGAGGAAGCCCCGGCUAACUACGUGCCAGCAGCCGCGGUAAUACGUAGGGGGCUAGCGUUAUCCGGAAUUACUGGGCGUAAAGGGUGCGUAGGUGGUUUUUUAAGUCA
rnacentral:rRNA from 1 species